GGGGAAUUGUUCGCAAUGGGCGCAAGCCUGACGACGCAACGCCGCGUGGAGGAUGAAGAUUUUCGGAUCGUAAACUCCUGUCGAGCGGGAAGAAUAGUUUCCGGGCGAAUAUCCCGGGAACCUGACGAUACCGCUAAAGGAAGCCCCGGCUAACUCCGUGCCAGCAGCCGCGGUAAUACGGGGGGGGCAAGCGUUGUUCGGAAUUACUGGGCGUAAAGGGCUCGUAGGCGGCCAACUAAGUCAGACGUGAAAUCCCCAGGCUUAACCUGGGAACUGCGUCUGAUACUGGAUGGCUUGAAUUCGGGAGAGGGAUGCAGAAUUCCAGGUGUAGCGGUGAAAUGCGUAGAUAUCUGGAGGAACACCGGUGGCGAAGGCGGCAUCCUGGACCAAUAUUGACGCUGAGGAGCGAAAGCCAGGGGAGCAAA
rnacentral:rRNA from 1 species